CGUACUCCCACCGCACAUGUUUGCGGCUCAUUGUGUUAUGACGUCACGCAAACCGUUCAGUGAAAAUUAUAGCGUUACUAAGCCAGAAAUUCGCACCACGAGCUCAUCACACAGAGUAGAUUAUAAUGUCAAAAUUGCACUGAGCCGCCCCUUUGAAAAAAGUUCCUAUUCUUGCAACGCAAAGCCAUAACAAUGGCUAAUUUUCCUAUUUUUGUAAGAAAAAGAGCCUGUAAUUAUACCUACAAAGUGGUGUGAAAGUAGUUACUGAGGAUACGUGAGGAUUGCAAACCAGUCUCCCUGGAUAUUCAAAGGAGUUGACGGACAAUUUGAUUGAAGACUUUAGCUCCAUGAAACUAGCUGAUUUUAGCGUAACAAAUAAGGUUUUUACUGCGUUGCAACUGGCUCCAGACUGGAAUUUAUAACCAAGACUAAAUAUUCAAGUGCCUAUCUGAAGUACUUAACAACAAGUUGUAUUAAGAUCUUAUGAAGUUAAUACCUACAUAAGAAACUAAAUUGGCAUAUCAUUCUGCUACUGAGUAAGUCACUUAAGCUGAUAAACACUUUAAUUUUAUGAUGCACUGAAAGUAUGAAAAAUAAUUUACUUGGCUUGCUUAUCUAGAUUCUCUAUCUAUAUAAAAUAUUAUUUGAUUCAUCUGUUUUCUAAGUACCUUAGAAUUAAACUGUAGUGCUGCGGUGGGUAUCUUUUGUAGUAAAAAAAUAUACCUAUGCUGGCUCAAUCUCCACCUACUACAGAAACAAGACUAUCUAUUCUUGGACCAACAGAAAGCCUAUUUCAGCUAUUGGAACACCCAGGCUUGCUGCUCCAUUUUACUCGAGAGCUAGGCUGGCUGAGCUAAAAUUAAGGGGUUAUGUACAAAGGUUCCACUCAAGAGAGCCACGUACAGGAGCUUCACCACCUCUCAGAAUAGAAUAGAAAAUCUACUAAAUAAAAUAAUCAAGAAGCAGUUUUUUAGCUAAUAGAAGAGAAGCUUAUGCUUGAUAUUUCAGAACACUAAUAAUAAUUGUGAUGUGAUUUAAUAUAUGAUGAAACACAAAAUACAGCAAAAA